rnacentral:rRNA from 1 species
UACGAAGGGGGCUAGCGUUGUUCGGAAUUACUGGGCGUAAAGAGUUCGUAGGCGGUUUGCCAAGCCAGAUGUGAAAUCCCGGAGCUUAACUCCGGAACUGCAUUUGGAACUGGCAGACUAGAGGAAGAUAGAGGUAAGUGGAAUUUCUUGUGUAGGGGUGAAAUCCGUAGAUAUAAGAAGGAAUAUCAAUAGCGAAGGCAGCUUACUGGGUCUUAUCUGACGCUGAGGAACGAAAGCGUGGGUAGCAAACAGG